rnacentral:rRNA from 1 species
AAUCAACGCUGGCGGCGUGCCUCAGACAUGCAAGUCGAACGAUUAAAGCUCUCUUCGGAGAGUGUAUAGAGUGGCGCACGGGUGAGUAACACGUAAGUAAUCUACCCUCGAGUGGGGAAUAACGUCCGGAACGGACGCUAAUACCGCAUAAUGCAGCGGCACCGCAAGGUGACAGUUGUUAAAGAUUUAUCGCUUGAGGAGGAGCUUGCGGCAGAUUAGCAGUUGGUAAGGUAAUGGCUUACCAAGGCUACGAUCUGUAACCGGUCUAAGAGGACGGUCGGUCACACUGACACUGAAUAACGGGUCAGACUCCUACGGGAGGCAGCAGUCGGG